GGCGUGCCUAUACAUGCAAGUCGAGCGGACAGAUGGGAGCUUGCUCCCUGAUGUUAGCGGCGGACGGGUGAGUAACACGUGGGUAACCUGCCUGUAAGACUGGGAUAACUCCGGGAAACCGGGGCUAAUACCGGAUGCUUGUUUGAACCG
rnacentral:rRNA from 1 species